rnacentral:rRNA from 1 species
GACGAACGCUGGCGGCGUGCUUAACACAUGCAAGUCGAACGGAAAGGCCCUGCUUUUGUGGGGUGCUCGAGUGGCGAACGGGGGAGUAACACGUGAGUAACCUGCCCUUGACUUUGUGAUAACUUCAGGAAACUGGGGAUAAUACCGGAUAGGAGCUCCUGCUGCAUGGUGGGGGUUGGAAAGUUUCGGCGGUUGGGGAUGGUCUGGCGGGUUAUGAGCUUGUUAGUGGGGUAGUGGCUUACCAAGGCUUUGACGGAUAGCCGGCCUGAGAGGGUGACCGGGCUCAAUGGGACUGCGAUACGCCGCAGACUGCAACGGGAGGCAGCGGGCGGGAGUAUUGCACAGUGAGCCGAAGCCUGAUGCAAAAGCGCCGCGUGCGGGAUGACGGCCUACGGGUUGUAAACCGCUUUCGCCUGUAACGAGGCGGGAGUGACGGUAACGGAUAAAGAAGCACCGGCUAACUACGUG